rnacentral:rRNA from 1 species
GGGAAUUUUCCGCAAUGGGCGAAAGCCUGACGGAGCAACGCCGCGUGAGGGAUGAAGGCCUCUGGGCUGUAAACCUCUUUUAUCAAGGAAGAAGAUCUGACGGUACUUGAUGAAUAAGCCACGGCUAAUUCCGUGCCAGCAGCCGCGGUAAUACGGGAGUGGCAAGCGUUAUCCGGAAUUAUUGGGCGUAAAGCGUCCGCAGGCGGCCUUGUAAGUCUGUCGUCAAAGCGUGGAGCUUAACUCCAUUUAAGCGAUGGAAACUGCAAGGCUAGAGUGUGGUAGGGGCAGAGGGAAUUCCCGGUGUAGCGGUGAAAUGCGUAGAUAUCGGGAAGAACACCAGUGGCGAAGGCG